rnacentral:sRNA from 1 species
UCGACUAGUGUUGAGCCUCUGGGGUUCGC